UACGAAGGGGGCUAGCGUUGCUCGGAAUCACUGGGCGUAAAGGGUGCGUAGGCGGGUCUUUAAGUCAGGGUGAAUACCUGGAGCUCAACUCCAGAACUGCCUUUGAUACUGAGGAUCUUGAGUUCGGGAGAGGUGAGUGGAACUGCGAGUGUAGAGGUGAAAUUCGUAGAUAUUCGCAAGAACACCAGUGGCGAAGGCGGCUCACUGGCCCGAUACUGACGCUGAGGAGCGAAAGCGUGGGGAGCGAACAGG
rnacentral:rRNA from 1 species